rnacentral:rRNA from 1 species
GUUAGAGGUUCGAAGGCGAUCAGAUACCGCCCUAGUUCUAACCAUAAACGAUGCCAGCCAGCGAUCCGGCUGUGUUCCUCAAAUGACACGCCGGGCAGCUUCCGGGAAACCAAAGCUUUUGGGUUCCGGGGGAAGUAUGGUUGCAAAGCUGAAACUUAAAGGAAUUGACGGAAGGGCACCACCAGGAAUGGAGCCUGCGGCUUAAUUUGACUCAACACGGGAAAACUUACCCGGCCCGGACACAGGAAGGAUUGACAGAUUAAGAGCUCUUUCUUGAUUCUGUGGGUGGUGGUGCAUGGCCGUUCUUAGUUGGUGGAGCGAUUUGUCUGGUUAAUUCCGAUAACGAACGAGACUCUAGCCUACUAAAUAGACGUCCCGAUCACUCUCGUCGGGCGUUCUUCUUAGAGGGACAAGCGGCGUUUAGCCGCACGAGACAGAGCAAUAACAGGUCUGUGAUGCCCUUAGAUGUCCGGGGCCGCACGCGCGCUACAUUGAAGGAAUCAGCGUGUGCUUUCCCGUUCCGACAGGAUUGGGUAACCCGUUGAACCUCCUUCGUGCUGGGGAUAGGAGCAUGUAAUUUACUCCUUGAACGAGGAAUUCCCAGUAAGCGCGAGUCAUAAGCUCGUGUUGAUUACGUCCCUGCCCUUUGUACACACCGCCCGUCGCUACUACCGAUUGAAUGAUUUAGUGAGGUCUUCGGACUGGCGCUCGGAGCGGCCUUCGGGUCGCGCCGGCGUGCCGGAAAGAUGACCAAACUGAUCA